UACGUAGGUGGCAAGCGUUGUCCGGAUUUACUGGGCGUAAAGAGCGCGCAGGCGGUCGUUCAAGUCGCGUGUGAAAGCCCCCGGCUCAACUGGGGAGGGUCACGCGAUACUGAUCGACUCGAAGGCAGGAGAGGGUAGUGGAAUUCCCGGUGUAGUGGUGAAAUGCGUAGAUAUCGUGAGGAACACCAGUGGCGAAGGCGACUACCUGGCCUGUUCUUGACGCUGAGGCGCGAAAGCUAGGGGAGCAAACGGG
rnacentral:rRNA from 1 species